rnacentral:rRNA from 1 species
AACUUGGCGUGGAGGGCGAAACCACCGGGGUUGACACAGCCCGGGGAGGACUUGUGGGUAGCGGUGAAAUUCCAAGCGAGCCCGGAGAUAGCUGGUUCGCCCCGAAAUAGCUUUAGGGCUAGCCUCAAGGUGAGAGAUACGGAGGUAGAGCACUGAAUGUCCUAGGGGGUAUUGCACCUACCGAAGACUAUCAAACGCCGAAUGCCGUCAUCUUAUACUUGGGAG